rnacentral:tRNA from 1 species
GCCCAGAUGGUGAAAUUGGUAAACACAACAGACUCAAAAUCUGUCGGUAGCAAUACCUUGCGGGUUCGAGUCCCGCUCCGGGCACCA